rnacentral:lncRNA from 1 species
ACGUAUGUCCACUUAAUUCCCAGCAACCCACCCUUUUUUGACCUUGGACUCUCUCUCUCUUUCUCUCUCUUCCCCCCUCCCACCCCUCCCCCCCUCCGUCUGGGUGGUAUAGAAAAUUGGGUUGCUUUAAAGAGACGAGGGAGUUGGCUUGCUUGCUUGCAUGUCUUUCAUGUGGUUUCUCCUUCACCUAUAUAAACCACAAGCCAAGUAGGUAGGAAGCAAUGUUGGUUUAUGCUUGCUUCUCGAAAGGGAUUAAGCUUUACUGCUUCCUUUCUUGCCACAAGUUUUCAGCUAGAUUGUCUUUAGGGAUUGAAUGCAUUUUUCCCUUAAUUAUUCUUUUAAAGCUUCCCUUUAGCAUUGCAGCUUUAUGUCAUAUUGUUCGUCGCUCCUGGGGUAGGUUGAAUUUUCAUUUAUGCGCUUCAUUUUAGGCAGUUCUAAUGGAUCUUUUGUUUGCAGUGGAUUUUCCCCCUUUCUAACCAUACUUGAUCUUCAUGGAUGAUAUGCACUUUAGGUAAUAUAUAGCUUCUCCUUAUAGCUUAUUGAAGCUAAGCUCUUUUGCAUAAGUCUGCUAAGGCUCUCUUAACAGUUCACUUCCCCAAUUUAUAGUUAUACCGAGGUGCUUCAAUGGUACCAAAGGUCAAAAUGAUUUAUUUGCACUUAUUUCAGCCUCAUUUCAAACCAAACGUCACCUGAUAUGUUCGUGCACCGUAUAGGAUAAUUUGAUGCAUGCAUAAGAGAGUUUCAUAUGGACAUGCUUGGUUGUGUUUUGGGAGAACAGAGCCGUGAUGGUCGUGAUCUAGCUAGGCAUGUCGCUCAUUGCAACUAGUGGGAUGUUAGGGUUCUGUGCUUGUGUCAAUGAGGCUCCCUAGUCAUGCCUCAUCCACAUAUAUGGAUGACAUGGCAAACAGUAUCUGAAAACAACUUCAGGGGCAUGGUAUCUUAGCAUGAUCUAGUGGCUAUGGUUUUGAAUCUAAAUAUAUAUGUGAUUCAUUUGUGCCACUUCUGCAUUGAGUCAUGCUCAAUAGGUUCACCCUUUCUGAAUGAACAGAGGCUAGAUGGUUGUCUACUCUUUUUGUUACCAUUCCCUAGCUUAAUUACAUAUAUAGGUUAGUGGUUGUUAUUGACAGCUAAAAAUCGGAAAAAGGAAAUCAUAAAUUGGUGGGGGCUCUUGUAACAUCAUGCAUGUUGCUAAAAAAUGUGAAAAUGGUCCUGAGCUUUCCUUGUAAGAGAGCAUCUUAGCUGCUGAUAGGAAAUACUAAGCUAUUAUGAGUUUAAUAUGUUUAUGGUUGUGUUGUGAAUAUUAAUAUUGCAGUAGUGGCAUUAACAAUAAUGAUAUAUGAUAGGAGCAACUGUAUGCAGCACAGUUGUGUAGUUGUUGUUCUUGAUGUUAUGUACAUGCUGUUACUGCUGCUAUUGUUGUUUUUAUUUUUCUUAAGCUGGGAUAUCAUGUUACUUUUCUUCUAUCAAGAAAAGCAAUUAUGUUAAUAUGUAAAAAUUCUUGAUAUAUAUGAAUCAAAUGUAAGUCAUGUAUUUCCUGCAGUGUAACAAAUUUUAGAGUCCCAUUCUUUUUCCUCAAUAUGUUUUUCUUCUACUUUAACGUGCUUACUUUAGAGAAAACAAUCCUUACUUUAUCCAUGCCCAGAAUAGUUUUGAGAUAUAAGUUUCAUCAGGCUAGUUAAGAUGUAUGUCCCAUCCAGGGGUAUCAUGUUCUUUUGGAGGUAAGGUGGGAAGCCUCUUUCUCUUGAUUAUGCUUGCACUUUUCUGGUAGUUGAAGAUAAGAGUGUUACUACCUACUUCUUUUAAAAAUUAGUUGACAGACAGAAAGUUCGCAAGGUGUAAUUUUAUUGUAGUGUUUGUAAAAAUAUUUAUUCUGCAUAAGUUCUUUAUUUUUUCCAAAAUGUGUAUGACUUUGCAAAUAUUUUUGAUGGUCUGAAUUCAUGCUAUACCACUAGAAUAUAUCUUGAUUUUCCAAGAACAAAUAUGUAUUACUAAAUAGUUGAACCGCUAAUCACAUUUGAGAAUGUUCCUUUCGCUUUCGGAAGAAUGUUACAAUUUUCAUUAAGAAAAUACAAAAUUGGUUUAUUUUUUGUUUAAAAAAAAAUUCCCACUAGAGUAGUUUUUGAGUUUUAGGCACAUGAUGUGCAACAGUUUAGAAUAAACUUAAUGUAUUUGGGAAGCAGAGCUUGAAUUUCAACAGUAGAGCUAGAGCUCAAUCAAUAGGCAAGCAUGACAUGCACCUGCAUUUGCUGGAACAUUGUUUCCUUGCUGAAAAAUGCAUCUAGCUUGGAUUGAAAUAACCUGUUAAAAGCUACAAUAUAAACAACAUUAUUAUAUCAUUGCUGAUUUAAUUUUACUACUUAGAACAAUUAGUAGACUUUAUUUUCUUUUAUACUACGAUUUCCAGUUUCUGAGUCUUAUACCUCUUUCCAGAGCAAGCAACAUUAGCAGUACUCCUAAUCUUUUGUCUUUUCUUUCUUUCUUUCGUUUGCUAAUUAUGGCUCCUCUCUCUUUUUUGUUUCUAUUGUGAAAAACAGUUAUAGUUUUCUUGAAUUGUAUCAGUACUUAUUAGCCGUUCUUAAACAUUCAAGAAGAAAGCUGAUUUGUUCAUCAAAACCCUCGACCGCAUCAACCAUCACCUUAUUCAUAUUAGUUAUUCCCUAUCAGCUACUACUACAAAUGUCUAAAGCACCACUGAUGCUAAAUUUUCAGUCACUUAUGUACAAAAGCCAUAAUCAUGCCUUGUCCAUCUGAUUGAUAUCAUAUUACCUAAGAUCACUAAUUAUAUAUAAGUCUAAUUCUACCAUUAUACUGUUUCACUUCCAUAAAUCAAUUUGGCAGCUUGAGGCGGAUUUUGAAGCAUACUCCACUGCCACUUCUUGUUUACUGGAAACUUGAAGAAUAUCAGCUGUAUCUGAAUU